rnacentral:tRNA from 1 species
GUUCUUAUAGUUGAGCUACAGCGGUGGUUUUUCGGACCACAGGGCUUGGUGUUUAAAUCCAAGUAGGAACUGG